CGGCCGCGUCGACGAAAGCUAGGGGAGCGAAUGGGAUUAGAUACCCCAGUAGUCCUAGCCGUAAACGAUGGAUACUAGGUGUUGUCUGUAUCGACCCGGACAGUGCCGUAGCUAACGCGUUAAGUAUCCCGCCUGGGGAGUACGCACGCAAGUGUGAAACUCAAAGGAAUUGACGGGGCCCGCACAAGCGGUGGAGUAUGUGGUUUAAUUCGAUGCAACG
rnacentral:rRNA from 1 species